GACAGAGGGUGCAAACGUUGUUCGGAAUUACUGGGCGUAAAGCGAGUGUAGGCGGUGUGGAAAGUCGGAUGUGAAAGCCCCGGGCUCAACCCGGGAAGUGCACUCGAUACUGCCACGCUAGAGUAUCGGAGAGGUUAGUGGAAUUCUCGGUGUAGAGGUGAAAUUCGUAGAUAUCGAGAGGAACACCGGUGGCGAAGGCGGCCAACUGGACGAAUACUGACGCUGAGACUCGAAAGCGUGGGGAGCAAACAGG
rnacentral:rRNA from 1 species